GAAGGAGGCGGAGGCUCUGGGAGCUGGUAGCUGGGCGACUGGCUGAUGGGCGAGGGAGGGCGAGGGAGGGCGCCGCAACGGAACGAGGAACCCGGACAGUGAAGGAGGAAGAAACAAAGGAGCCAGCAGCACUAGAGAGUUCCCUUCUGGAUCUGAGUUUGACUGUUCCAUUCAGCAUCCAAAGAGAGAGGAGGACAUAUUGUUUGAAUAAGGAAGGUAAAGAAAUGUACUUUUUUGAAAGCCAUCAAAGAAGGAUGUGUACUUCAUCUCUGUGCCUUCCCUACCAGUCUAGCUGGGUAAGAGAUGAGGGUGCCCUGCCCAUGGAGAGAAGCUGCGUAUGCAUAGUGGUCAAGAUCAUGGUCUCUUCUAUCAGACUGACACGCAGAUUCCACUCCCUGUGACCUUAGGCAAGUUACCUAACCUCUUUGUGCCUGUUUCAUCACCUAUAAAAUAGGAGUAACUGUGUUACUCCCCAAAUUUCUACAAUGAAGGCCUAACUUCUAUGCAAUGGUAUUUGGAGAUAGGGCCUUUGGGAGACACUUACGUUUUGAUGAGGUCCUAAUGAUUGGAUUAGUGCCCUUGUAAGAAGAGACACCAGAAAGCUAGCAUGUACCAUGCCCCAGCCCUCACCACCCCUGCCAUGUGAGGGCACUUGGAGAAGACAGCUACCUGCAACCUAGGAAAAGAGCCGCCAUCAGAAACUGACCAUGCUGGUAUCUUGACCUUGGACUAUCAGCCGCCAGAACUGUGAAAAAAUAAAUUGCUGUUGUUUAAGCCACCUAGUCUAUGGUAUUUUGCUAUGGCAGCCAAGCCAGUCUCUCUCUUUGAGGGGUUGUCAGCAUUAAAUGAAACGACUCAUGUCAUUUAAGGCACUUAGACUCUGGUCUGACGCAGGAUGAGCUAAGUGUUCAGCAACUGUUAGCCAUUGUUUAGAAGGGUAGGGCUACCUGCUAAGUAAAACGAAUGUUGGUGUUUGGUGAGGGCACCCUUCUGCUAGGGACAUCUCUGAAGACACAUCAAACAACAUAUUUCUGAAGACAUUCAACAUAUUUCUGUGGGAGAAUGCCAGCUUUGUCUCCCAAAUGCAAUGGAGUUUUCAAGUUAGGAAUUCUAAUCAAAAGAGACCCAUCAGAGUAUGUACAAUAAAUGUAGAAUUCUAAGAACAUUACCUGAAAUCACCCAGUUUGUGGGUGUCAGUGUGAAAAUGUAGAUACCUAAGGCCAUGUCUGCUUCAGUGUCAUCUCCUCCUAGAGACCUUCCCUGACCACUCUAUACAGAGUAGCAGUUCCUACCCAUUACACUCUAUCCCUUUACUGUGCUUUAGUUUUCUUCAUAGCACUUGACAUUUUUUUUUUUUUUUUUUUUUUUUUUUUCUGAGAGGGAGUCUCCUCUGUUGCCCAGGCUGGAGUGUGAUGGCAUGAUCUUGCCUCACUGCAACCUCUGCCUCCUGGGUUCAAGCCAUUCUCCUGCCUCAGCCUCCCAAGUAGCUGGGAUUACAGGCACCCGCCACCAUGCCCGGCUAAUUUUUGUAUUUUUAGUAGAGGCGAGGUUUUGCCAUGCUGGCCAGGCUGGUCUCGAACUCCUGACCUCAGGUGAUCCACCCGCCUUGGCUUCCCAAAGGGCUGGGAUUACAGGCCUGAGCCACUGCGCCUGGCCAACAUUAUAUGCUUUGUUAUGCAUUGUCUGUCUCCUUACUAGAAUGUAAGCUCUGUGAAGAAAGACUUGGUUCUUUUUUUUCCCCACUACAGUGUCCCCAAUACUUGACCAUUGCUUGACACAUUUGUUGAAUGAGUGGAUGAAUUUAUUACAGUGGUUAAGAACAUGAACUUUGGCACAAGCCUUCAAAUCCUGGCUCUGCCACUUAGUGCACGUGAUCCUGGGGAGGUUACUUGCCUUGGUAAGCCUCAGUUUUUUCAUCUGUAAAAUGGAAAAAUAGGAUGAAAUAAACGUGUAGAAGGCCAGGCAUGAUGGCUCACACCUGUAAUCCCAGCACUUUGGGAGGCCAAGGCAGGUAAUUGUUUGAGCCUAGAAAUUCAAGAUCAGACUUGACAACAUGGUGAAACCCCAUCUCUACAAAAUAAUACAAAAAUUAUGGGGCCAGGAGUGGUGGCUCACACCUGUAAUCCCAGCACUUUGAGAGGCCGAGAAGGGAGGAUCACUUGAAGUCAGGAGUUUGAGACCAGCCUGGCCAACAUGGUGAAACUCCAUCUCUACUACAAAUACAAAAACUAGCCGGGCAUGGUGGUAUGCACCUGUAGUCCCAGCUACUCGGGAGGCUGAGGCAUGAGAAUUGCUUCAACCCAGGAGAAGGAGGUUGCAGUGAGCUGAGAUCGCACCACUGCACUCCAGCCUGGGUGACAGAGCGAAACUCCAUCUCAAAAAAAAAAAAAAAAAUUAGCUGGGUGAGGUGGCAUGUGCCUGUAGUCCCAGCUACUAGGUAAGCUGAGGAGGGAGGAUUGCUUGAGUCAGAGGUUGCAGUGAGCCAAGACUGUGCCAUUGCACUUUAGCUAACCUGGGUGACAGAGCGAGACCCUGUCUCAAAAAAAAAAAAAAAAAAAAAAAAAAAAAAAAAAAAAAGAGUGCCUGAUGUCUAGUGCACUAGAACAAAUGCUGCCUGUUUUUAUUUUCUCUCUCUAACCCUGACAUGCAAGAAAGGGAAGUAUGAUUAGUUUCCUUGAAGCACAAGAACCCGCAGCUGGAAUGAAUGGGAGGAUAGGCCACAGAGAAACUCGGGGCAGGGUAGCAGGGAGCAGGGGUGCGGGAAACAGUGCUAAUCCCAUGAGAGGAGGGCAACACAGGGAGGAAUGCAGCCAGGAAAAAAGUUCCCACUGAGAAUAAGGUUGUGAACCCAGAAUUUCUUAAAAAAAGAAAACGAGACCGGGCGUUGCGGUUCACACCUGUAAUCCCAGCACUUUGGGAGGCCAAGGUGAGUGGAUCACCUGAGGUCCAGAGUUCGAGACCAGCCUGACGAACAUGGGGAAACCCCCGUCUCUACUAAAAAUACAAAAUUAGCCAGGCGUGGUGGCGCAUGCCUGUAAUCCCAGCCACUCAGGAGGCUGGGGCAGAAGAAUCGCUUGAACCCAGGAGGCGGAGGUUGCAGUGAGCCAAGAUUGCACCAUUGCAUUUCAGCCUGGGCAACAAGAGCAAAACUCCGUCUCAAAAGAAAAAAAAAAAAAAAAAGAAAGAAAAGGAAGAAAGACAUUCUGAGAAGACAAAGUGUUCACAUUGAUAAUAGGUUUUACUACUUUGCUGAAACAGAGUUUCAAUUAAUCAAGAGAUCCUCUACCUCCCACCACACUCGCCUGCAGUUUAGGCAGAAAUCCUUUUGUGAUUUCCCACUCUGAUGGAGUGAUUCAGCUAAAGGGCUCCAAGAGAGCAGCAUUUCUCUUCAAACACUCC
rnacentral:lncRNA from 1 species